CUCAGUUGUGUUCACACACUGCUAAUGUCUGUCCUUCUGUAACAUGGGUCUGCUGCACUCCAACACAGGUCCACUGUUGUCAGUCGUCCUCUUCCUCUGUGCUGUUAGCCGUCAAAGGGCUCAAGACCUCACAGAUCCUCCUCAGCCCAGACUGACUGUGAGUCCAGCAGCCAUCAGAGAGACAGACUCUGUUCUGCUGAGAUGUGAGACUACAUCUUCUCUCUCUGUGUCUGAAUGUUAUUUUACCUUUAAUUGGGAGACUUUCCACACACAACAACCACCUUGUAAUAAGAUGUUCACAGGAACACAGAUUCUCAGUAUGACAGGUCAAAGUACUCCAGCUGAAGUGAAAUUACAAUGUCACUACAAAGCUUCAGGUUGGAAAUAUGAAUCCUUACACAGUGUGUUCACUCUUGUC